rnacentral:tRNA from 2 species
GCGGACAUAGCUCAGUUGGGAGAGCGUCAGACUGAAGUCAACUUCAAUCACUUGAUCUGAAGGUCGUGUGUUCAAUCCACACUGGCCGCA